AAAUUACACUUUUGAAAGAAGUGCUAGUGUUUCAGAUAAAUUUUAGAAAAUGCAAUUUGAAUGAAGUGCUAGUGUUUCAGAUAAAUUUUAAAGAAAAUUUCAAAGAAAAUCAUCCCUGCAAGUUUGGUAGACUUGCAAAUGACUUGAUAAGUUCUAUUUGAAUAGAAUAGGCUGCAGUCAGAAUAGAUGCGUAAUUUAGCCUCUCAAGUCUUGAUUCAUUUGUUCAAUCCCAUCUUUUAGAUAUUUAAAAAAAUCAUCUUUAUAUCUAUCUGUUAUA
rnacentral:lncRNA from 1 species